rnacentral:rRNA from 1 species
UGCAAAUCAACGAUUGAGAUCAAAUGUUCUGCCCAAGCAGACGUCUGCUCCAUCCCCAGAUCCCCGCUCGCCCCUACUGCAACACACAGGCCGAUUCCGCGCCGCUGGUUCUCCACCUCCCCUCCCUCUCCUCACUACAGGACGCCGCCGGGCGAAGCUCGGCUCGCGUCGGCGGCGCCGGGGUCACUCUCCUGCCUCGAGCAGCGUCGGCGGCGCGGGAUGCAGCGGGCUCGGCCUGUGUCACCGACGCGAGUGUCCCUCUCGAGCGGCGGCGGUGGCGGAUUCAGCGGACGCGGGCCGUGGCGGCGGCGGCGGCGGUGGAUGCAGCGGGCUCGGCCUGCGUCGGCGGCGGCGGGUCCAUCUCCUUCCUCGAAUAGCAGCGGGCUCGCGCCCCACGAUUUAUUCGACUCCGGCGAUUUGUCAACUUCUGCUUUAGCGGCGCCGCAACGGAGCACUCUGUCGGGCCCCUUGGCGGGAUCGGCGUCCGGAUCAUCUCGCGCCUCCGCAAGGGGGAUGGGACUGCUCGGGCUCAUCUGCAAGAGCCCCUCGCCGCCAUGCCGCCUGCUGCCGCUGACACCAUCAACGGGAGCGGACGAGCAGGAGAGAUCCUGUCGAUCUGAUGACGAAAGGGCGAGAUAACCGGCUCCUGUAUGUUUUGGAAGGUCUACCUCGAGAUAAAUUUGGACACCGGCAAGCUCCUCUCAGUAAAGUUACACCAAGUCUCUCCUUUGUUUGAUUUUGGUUCCAGCUUUGAUCGGGAGCACCAACCGCGAGCUGGGAGAAAGCCCAAGUGAGUAGCACUUCCACAGCAGAUUGGUUACCAAUUUAAUUGUUCUGAUUUUUCUUCAUGUGAGGUGAUUUCUGGCCUUUGUUUCUACUAUCACGCGCAUAUAAGAGAACUCGAGGAAGAAGUGAAGCUCCUCAUUUUCUGUGAAGAAGUACCUUGAGACUGUCCGUGAGGAAGACACGCUGAAUAUCUUGCUUGAUUUUGUUCCCCGCCCACUGCACGCCGCUGUCGAGAACACCUCUGCUACCUCCUCCCAAUCUCCGCCACAAGAUUCUCCGUCCAGAUCCUGGGCGAGGAAUAAAAAAAUUAGUUCUUGAAGCUUCUCCAUCAUGCUGGACGGACAACUGUAUCCGGCACCGUCGCCAUCGCUUAUGGAGUUCCACACCAUUGCCCAGUUGUACGAGAGCAUGUUCAAUCUUCUCCAUUCAAGACUAUGCAAGUGGUGAACUCUGCCAAACAAGAAGAUAUGAGGAUAUGGCAUAUAUGCCCCAUAAGGUAGCUAUAUGGUAAUUCAUGUAUUGUAGUUUGGAUUACGGUCACACUUUGAAGGGUAAGUAGAUGAUGCUCAAUGACAUAACCUGCACUGAUCUUCACAGUCAUAUCAUCUGAUAGAAGUUUAUUGAAUUUCAUUUAAAUUUUGUUGUAUGUUAUCCAUGAUGUAAGUGGAGAUAGGAAGUUAAACAAAAUUAAAAAUUGCAGCACAAAGGGGAUGUCCACCAAUGAUUUGACAUGAUAAGAUGUUAGUGAAGCAUGGCAAACUAUGACAUUAGCAAAACUUAUAUUUACAUAUAUUCAUAUAUAUGAAUUUUGGAAAUGUGCAUUGCACGUAUAUCGUACUUCUCUUCACUAUUCAAAAUACUUGUACCCACUAUGAUUUCAUUUUUUAUUAUUUACCUUGAAGGAGUAUUAUAUUAAUGUUAUUUGUUGUCCACCUUGAUCCUUCACUGCUAUUUUUCCUACUAAGCAACUUUGCAUGGAGUUAAGAUCAUUUCGUAAGAUUCUGAUAUGUUUUUCAAAUUCGCUUCCUUUAUGCAUGAACCUAUCAUCAAGAUUUAGACCUCUUAUAUGGUGCAUGUAUGCUGCUGUAAGAAGAAAUGUAAUAUUGUCCUCAUCAAUUUCUUUCUUAGCAUGCACAAUAUGUUACAACAUCAAUUUCAUUGGUUUGGAGAAGGUGAUAAACAUGCAACCGUUCUUACUUGAUGAUAUGAAUGCUUCAUUGGAGCAAUAUUGGCCUUUGUUUGCACAUUAGUGUUCCAUUAUGUAGUAAAAGAUGUGGUCUGGUAGCCUUUCUUCAUUGUUACAGUUAUUGUCAAAUGGUGGAAUAUUGGUGCCUGGUAGCUCUGGUUCAUGUAAGCAUGACGAAACAUCGUAAAAUCAUAUUUCUUGUUGUAUCAUGAGUCAUAUGAAAAGAAGGUUAGGCGAUUUAUGUUUUUAGUUUUUCUAUUGCUCGUGUGUUAAAGAUCUAGGCAUACAUUUCAGAUAUAAAUUUGGGCAUAAAUUGUCACAAAUAGAUGGGUGGCGUGGGUCAAGGUUCAGAAACCCAGGGCAUCAUGUUUCUUUCGAGCCAUAUGAGGAGAACUACAUCCAUGGUAGUGGCUACAAUAUAAUCAGAGAGCCAUGUACAUGUUGAUUGUUAUGAAAUCAUGGGAUGGAAUCUUGAUCUCCGGUGUCCAGAAAUCUAUUUUCUCAGAGAAAAAAUCGAUGCGAGUUUAUAUUGCUGAUGUUUCGUCACGCACCUUAAUUUCUUCUUCGGAUUAUGAAAUAUUUAGGUUAACAAGAUGCCAUGUAAGUUGGGUUGAGAUCUGCUAUACAGUGACUUUCUUUUGUUCAAAUAUUUCAUUUUUUUUCAUUUUCAUGCUGUCGAAGUAUUUGUACUUGUGAUUUCCUGAAGUUUUGUGAAAUAUUGAAGGAUAUCUUGGAACGACAAAGUUCCCAGUCUUCAUGCUAGGUGAUAGGACACUGGCUGCUGAAGUUGCUCAUUGCCUCGCAUAAAAGAAUGGAAUCUCCUUAUUUUUUGCUAUGUUUUGCACAUGUUGAUUAUGAUGGCAUUGUUUUGAACAUUCUAUCCCAUGUUGAUAAAAAGUAGAUGCUUUGGUAUGCCCUCUUUGUUCUAGCUUGGUUGGUUGACUGGUUGUUGUUCUAGGUGUUGUUGAGAUGACCUAAGCUAACAACAAUUUGAGCUUGCCUCCAUGGUGUUUGAUUAUAUUUAGGUGGACAAAAUCCCCCGGUGAUAAUCCCAAAAAGAAAAUUUGGCAUUGACGCAGGGCGUAGAGCGUUGGUGAUGCCUGAAAAGAAAAUUUGGCAUGGCACGGGAGGUAAGGCGUUGGUGAUGCCCAAAAACAAGAUUUGGCGUGAUGCGGGAGGUAGAGCGUUGCAUGCGGCAGCAAAGAUACAACCAUGUUAAAAAAUUCAAACCAUCGACGGGAAGUAGAGUGUUGUGUGCGGCAGGAAAGAUACAACCAUGUUCAAAAAUUCAAACCAUCGGGGUCACAGUUGCAAGAUGGGGAUUGGAUGGCAUGGACACAUUUAG